rnacentral:hammerhead_ribozyme from 1 species
AUCCAGCUGAAGGGUCCCAAACAGGACGAAACGCGCGUCCUGGAU